rfam:Listeria aquatica FSL S10-1188 c5, whole genome shotgun sequence.
CAAUCUUUGUAGUGCAUAAUCAGGUUUUGCAAAAGAGUGUUUCGGGAAUGUGAAUGAUGGCGCAUUCAUUUUUUCGAUUACGAAUUUUUCUAACGAAAGGACGAUGUACGUAAUGGCUUCUAAAACGAAGAAGGCAAUAGUUGAUGUGAAAAAGCAAUUCGAUGCGAUUUCCAAGCAAUUUGAAAUGGUUCAAAUUCUAAAUGAAAAAGGAGAAGUGGUGAAUCCUGAUUUAAUGCCAGAUUUGACU